AUUGAACGCUGGCGGCAUGCCUUACACAUGCAAGUCGAACGGUAACGGGCCUUCGGGUGCCGACGAGUGGCGGACGGGUGAGUAAUACAUCGGAACGUACCCGAUCGUGGGGGAUAACGUGGCUAAAGCUUUGCUAAUACCGCAUACGAUCUACGGAUGAAAGCAGGGGACCGCAAGGCCUUGCGCGGACGGAGCGGCCGAUGGCAGAUUAGGUAGUUGGUGGGAUAAAAGCUUACCAAGCCGACGAUCUGUAGCUGGUCUGAGAGGAUGAUCAGCCACACUGGGACUGAGACACGGCCCAGAGUCCUACGGGAGGCAGCAGUGGGGAAUUUUGGACAAUGGGCGGAAGCCUGAUCCAGCCAUGCCGCGUGCAGGAUGAAGGCCUUCGGGUUGUAAACUGCUUUUGUACGGAACGAAAAGCCUUCUUUUAAUACAGGAGGGUCAUGACGGUACCGUAAGAAUAAGCACCGGCUAACUACGUG
rnacentral:rRNA from 1 species